CCAGAAGAUCCAGAAUCUCCAGAAAUAACUGCCCUGUACAUUUCUCCGAUACUGAGGCUGUAAUGACUGGUGGAGACUGGUUGGAAGAGACAGGUGAUCCUUUCCCAUCCUCUGUUCUGACACUGCUAUUUCUCUCAGCUGAUCCACAUGAUGGAAUGGGAAGUUGGUAACUGCAGCUUGGAAGUAUCUCAAGAAUUUUACACACAGGUGAAGGGUGAAAAGCAGACUGAUGGAGCAGAGAGAGAAGUCACUGCAGAGGAACAUAAUCUCUAUGGGGAUGAUGCAAAUAACUGUGCUGGCAGGUACCCGAAGGUUCCAAGACUUUGCUAUGGAGAUGGCCAAAGUAACAGAUUUGAACUAUUAGAACAGCUUGAGCAAACAUUUGCCAGUGAAUGCAUUAAGUUUUGAUGCAUGGCUGUAUAAAUAUAUAUUUAUGGACUAUAAAUUUUGUUGAAGAGGAGCAUUUUCAUGAGCAGCUAAUCUCACCUGGGUAAACAAAAAAGAUUACCAAAGUAAGCUAUUAUAUAACAUUGUAUUGCUCUGUACUGCAUUUAUUUGUUUGAACAGUUUUGUGGUUGUACUUAGUUCUGCCUGUUAAGGAUAGAAGUGGUUUAAUGAAUAAUAGCCUGUACUCCUAUGAUAAUAGCCUGUUUCUUCUAUGGAGAAAGGCUGAGAGAGCUGGGGAUAUUCAGCCUGGAGAAGAGAAGGUUCUGGGGAGACCUCAUUGCAGCUUUUCAAUACUUAAUGGAGGCUUAUAAAAAAGACAGAGAGCAACUUUUUGCUCGGGCAGACAAUGAUAGUUUAGUUUUAACGUAAAAGAGGGGAGAUUUAGAUUAGUUGUUAGGAGGAAAUUCUUCACUCAGAGGGUGGUAAGGCACUAGCACAGGUUGUCCAGAAAAGCCGUCGAUGCUCCAUCCCUGGAGGUGCUCAAGGCCAGGUUGGAUGAACCUGAACUAGUGGGUGGCAUCCCUGCCCAUGGCAGAGGGGUUGGAACUAGGUGAUCUUUAAGGUCCCUUCCAGCCCAAGCUGUUCUAUGAUUCUAUGAUACUUUGAAAAUGAAAUGGAAAAAAAAAUGGCAUGAUUUCUAAAACAGGUUUCAACAUCAAAGACUUCUUUAUUUAUACAAAGCUGCAGAGUACGUGCCUUUUAGAGAGAGAGAGAGAGAAUUUCCCAUAAAAUAUUUAAAUCUUCAGGUAGUAAAAUUCAACCCAGCUAGUCUUGGGCAUGUAUGCAGUUAGCAGAGGUACUGGUAGGUUACUCCCCCAGGAAUUAUGUUUCUCCCUCCAUUUUGUGAGUACUUUAUUACUUCAAAAGCAUGUCAGACCUCAACAGGUAAUUUGGAAGAAUUGUCUGGUGGAAACUGAAGUAUGUACACACAGUAGAAUUAAUUUACCUGUGUUCAGUGUCGUGACAGUAAUCAUGUGGUGUUAACUGAGGCUACAAGGGCUAUGUUGAAAUGGGCUAUUUGACACGAAGGUUUGAUGGGGACCAAACCUCCAGUUUUAGUCAGCUCCCAAUAUUGAGAAAAAUUCUGUCAAGUAAAAAGGUAACUCUCUUCACUUUUAAACUGCCAUUCUCUAAGGAGUGCUGAUUAACACUGCUGUAUUUUCAUCUAAGCAAGAUAGCUAACUGUAUGUCAGAACACCCUACCACCACCCACAUAGAAAACUAUGUUAAAGCACUGUGUAGAGCCUGACUUGAUUUCCAUGGCCAGGUAAACCUCUGUUCCGUGCUGUGUUAACCUACUUGAUUGAAGAGCACGGCGCUAAUCGCAAGAUCAGCUAUCAAUUUUGAAAGGCUUCUGAAAUUCUGAAGCAAAAUGGGAUGACUUAAGAAAGGAAAUGUAGGCUUAGCUUUGAGUUUUUCUGGCUUUCGUGGAUAUGAACCAAAUCCUCUGUUACUGUAACUGUUUGGGGUGUGCUAUUUUUCUGAUCUUUCAUGUCUCUCCUUUUAGUUUUUCUUUUGUACUUGUGAUUAUAUAAACAUGCAUUGUUUUAGUGUAGGAUCAUUGAUAACACUCAUAUCUAUUUAGUUUCUAUAAGAUGAUGUUAGUGAACUUAUUUAAACUUAACAAUGUUUUUUACACUAUGCUGAAGAACUCAUUUGGAUGAAGAAUUCAUUCAUAAUUUGUCUGUAAUUGUUUCAUAAAAUGCUCAUACCAUUACAGACAAAACAUCUUCAGACUUCACCACAAACCAAAGUUUUAGAGCUGCACAACAUUUAUACUCCAGAAGAGUUUAUAGGUGCUGCAAGUCCUUACCAGUUCCGGAAAUUGUCAGUGCAUAUUUGAAAUGUAGUAAAUUUGAAAUAAAAGUAAAAGAAUAAAUACCUACA
rnacentral:lncRNA from 1 species